rnacentral:lncRNA from 1 species
GAGAAUGACCAUGGAAUGGACCAAAAAGAUGAAGAAGAAGGAGGAGGUGGUGGUGGAACGGAAGAGGAAGUCCCAUGAACUGUGCAACUGGAAAAAAAGAAAGAGAAUGACCAUGAAAUGGACAAAAAAGAUGAAGAAGAAGGAGGAGGUGGUGGUGGAACAGAAGAGGAAGAAGAAGAAGAAGAAGAAGGAGAUUCAAAAACCAUGCCUAAAGACCAUGGUGCAAAACAUGUUCAAAGAAGAAGAAGAAGAAGAAGUAGUCGUAGUAGCAUCUGGUGGUGUACAGUAGAUAUAACCAGGGCCAAAAGCAGCAGUAGUGGAAGAUAGCAAAACAUGGAUGCUACAUUGCAUGGGGGCUGCGGGCUGCGCCAUGCAAGUCCCCAGCUUUUAGUUCAGUCAUCUCCAUGGAUAUACCAGC